rnacentral:lncRNA from 10 species
GUCAGAUCAGGCCUUCACAGGCCAAUUGCUGAAACAGAUGAAAUUAAAAGCCAUUGAUUUAAUUAGGUCACCUUAGCACUUUGAUCAGGGAGACCAUUUACCAAGUGUGACGUUGCUCGAUAUUUGGCUAUUACAACAGAAAGAAGAAAAGACGGAUCAGUGGUUGAAGAAGCGCUCAUGGAUAUGCACAGAGACAAAGUGUAUAAUGAGCAAGUAUCCCAGGGUUCUUUGCCUCGUGACCAAGAAAAUUAAGGAGCGUGGACACAAAGGUGCUGUGUUUUCUUCCUAUGAAAAGAAAAAAAGAAAAGACUCCAGAUGGAGAGCCUCAAAUUGUCGGCAGAUUUGAAACUCCCCUGGAAUUUGUAUUGGUGAUGCAGAGUUUGGUGCAGACUGACAAUACGCAGCUGUGAUUCUUUUAAACAACACUGGACUCUAGGUGACCAUCAUGCUUCCUGGGGGCAGCUGCACACAAGUCAGUAUAAAGCGGAGAAAGUAACACCAGUAGGUUAAGAUAACAGUGACACAGCAAAAGAGGAAGACCCUAUUUAAGAAGUGGUACAACCCAUGGGAAUUUAAAAACAGGCCCUCAGCCAACUGGAGAGUGCCUACUCACAUUGAAGGUGGAUAUUCUCCACUCAGCCCACUGACUUACAUGCCAGUCUCCUCUGCAAACGUCCUCACACCUCGGGCAGCCCAAUCAUUUAACCAAACUCCAAGUCACCUGGCUUUGAGGAACAAGUUCAGUGCCUACUGAAGUAGUAAGAAUAAAUAAUGUUUUGCCAGCUAUCUGGGUGUCCCUUAAUCUGGUCAAGUUGAUACCCAAAACCAACCAUCACACCCUGGCACAAAGCAAGCUGGGACCUCAAUACCCUGUGUCACUGGGGAGGACUUAAGAGUUUUAAGUCUAGAUUUGAUGGGGCAGUACUGAAAGAGAGAAGGGACUAAUGACUAAUCCAGUCAACCCUUCAUGAGCAACUGAAUUGUCAGAGGUACAAUGUAGAGAGGGCAUGAAAUGUGCAGAUGGAAUUCAGCAACCCUGGUGCAGAGGAGUCCGUGGUAGGAAUCCAGGAAUCAAGUAACAAACAAAUAUAGCAAGUGGCACCACAUUUCUAGGCAUAUAAAGAAAUAAUAACACCUAGAAUUUGUAAACAAUUUGCUAAGCUCAGGGCUAAGGGCGUCACAAAUCUUGUGAAGCUAGCCAGUGAGAGAGGUACUAUUUUUAUCCCCCAUUUCUAGAUGGAUAAAUUGCAGUUCAGAAAUUGUAACCCCAUUGGUACUUGCCAGGUAGGGAUAUAAACCAAAGCUCAAGCGUUUCACCCUGUACAGUCUGAUUCUUCAACCUUCACCCCACCCCUUCCACAUUAGAUACCUGCAAUACAGUUAGGAAUGGUUUUUACUGGUCUUAGUCAAUCAUGGUGAUUCAUUAACCAGUGGUGGUUCAGGAACUUAGACCAGUCAGCAUCUAGCCUUUCCCUACUAAAAUUAUUGAUUCAAGAAGAGCAUAUGACUUAAAUUGGUCCAAGGAAAUGAACAGGAAGAACUUGGGCUCCAAAGAUCAGUGAGAAAUGUUGAUUUUCCCUCUGGAAGUGAACAGAGAAGCACAUGACACCAAUUGUUACUCAAAGCAACCAUACUACUAAGUAGAGCAUUUACCUUAGGAUGAAGUCUUCUUUGUGGAUUGCUGUGUGGAGAGACAGAGGGACCAUUGUUUAUUGAUGACAUAAUUAAGCAGGAGGAUCAACAAGAUUUGUGGCUGUCCUACCUCUGGAUUUUGUUUUGUAUGAGCCAAGAAAUAUCCUAUCUGUUUAAAUUGCUUUGAAUUGAGUCACCAUUUCCUGCAACUGAAAACACUGUAACCAAUAUCUACUCCAUGGGACCUCCUCAGAAAAACAAGGGAGGAGUAAUACAAACCCAUAUAGAUGAUAUCCUUCAUGUGAGCCAUUCCUUAAUACGCCCUUUCAUAGAUGAGAAGGGCAAAGUCCAGCAAAGUUGAGUAAUUUGUCUUAGGUGACACAGCUAGUAAUUGUUAAGGCUGGACUUUGUUCCUCUGAGUAUCUGACACCAAAGUCUGUAUGCUUUCCAAUAUGCACAAUGAAAAUCUUGGCCAGUAAUGAAAGGUAUGCAGAUCAUAUUCCAGUCCCAUGCAGAAGUUAGUCAAAGGUUCACUGAAGAUAAAGUCUAAUAAGUAAUCUGGUUUUCACAGCAGAAUGCCAGUCACAGCAAGGGACUUGUGUGCUGGGCAGAGAGAGCCUCUUGUAUGGCUGGGCCAACAUGGCAGGAGAAGGGAAAGGCUGUGAUUCAGAGGCUAAUCCCCAGCACAUUGGACACUUGGUGGAAGGCCAAGCGUGACCUUCAGACUCUACCAGCUGCUGUGUGUGAGGCUACUGAUCACCCUUCCUGCCCUGGUCAGGCCUGGCUCAGCCACCAGUGGGGAGCAGAGCAGCUCAAAUGAAACAUCUGGAAAAGACAGAAGAUGGUAAAAAGAAAAAAGGAGAAAGAAAAAAAAAGGGAGGAGAGUGAAUCCAUAGAUAUUAGGAACAUAGUGAUUAUGAAUAUAAUAAAAAGUGACUCCAAACUCUUGGCUUAUCAGGAUGUACCAGUCCUCUCUUGCCAAUACUGUACUAUGUGCAAGUUUUGAUUACCUGUUUCGAGGUGAGUUUUUACAUAUAUUAUUUUCCUAAAACUGGUUGCCAUUCUGUCCUAAUUUCUUGCUCAAAAUUUAUAUUUGCAUCUGAAAACUCAAAGUACCAUGGCACCUGGCUACCUUUCCCAAUCUGUUCCUGUUCCAGAGCUGCACAUAUGGCUGCUGACGUUGAAGACAGCACUUUAUUUUAGGGGGUGCCAGUCACAUGGCUUCCCCUCGAAUGGUGCAGUGUACAAUCUGCACAACCAUACCCAGUAGUCUUGCCUGGUUCUCUUAGUUCCUUAUGCAAAAUUGGUCUAAAACUUUUUAAAUGUCAUGUUUUUGCCAGAUGUGGUGGCUCAUGCCUGUAAUCUCAGUGCUUUGGGAGACAAAGAUGGGAGGAUCACUUGAGGCCAGAGUUCAAGACCAGCCUGGGUAACAUAGCCAGGUCCACCCUCUGCCUUCCCACCCCCACCCCCACGCCCAUCUUUACACAAUCUUUUAAAAAAUUAGCUGGACAUGGUGGCACAUACUUGUAAUCCCAGUUACUCAGAAGACUGAGGUGAGAAGAUCACUUGGGCACAGGAGUUCAAGGUUAGAGUGAGCUAUAAUCAGGCCACUGCACUCCAGCCCGGGCAACAAAGUGAGACUCUAUCUCUAAAAUAAAUAAAUUUUAAUUUUAAAAAAUU